rnacentral:SRP_RNA from 1 species
GCCGGACGCGGUGGCUCACGUCUGUAAUCCCAGCACUUUGGGAGGCCGAGGCAGGCGGAUCACCUGAGGUCGGGAGUUCAGAACCAGCCCGGCCAACAUGGUGAAACCCUGUCUCUA